GUCAAGAUGCCGGAGUGGUUAACGGGCGGCCCUGCUAUUCUCAGCAGUCAAAGGCCGUGUCUUCGGACGCGCAGGUUCGAAUCCUGUUCUUGACG
rnacentral:tRNA from 1 species